GUGCUGCCCAGGCCACUGGUGGGAACCUUGGGCUCACGUCGGACCAGUGUCAGAUCACACGGAAAGUGUAAGAUUCCGCCUCAGAGUUCGACUGCGAGCAGCUGCUUCUUGGCAACCACAGUGCAGUGGUAUUAACUGGUGAUGGGAGGGAGGUGAUCAGUGCUGUGUUAUUACCAGUUUCCCCUUCGACAGUAGCUGGGGCCUCGGCACUGUGGAGGUUCUCACCUCCGGUACCUAUCACAAUUGGUGGGGGAAAGCGGUAUCCCUUGCUGCCUCGAACACCUCUGGCAUGGAUGGACGUACCGGGGCUGUACUCUGAUGGCUCUCCCUCGGUGGGGAGUCCAACGGUACCGGACUUGAUGGGUCUCUUCCCUGGGCUGGAAUCAACGGUACCGAACUGGCAGCUGUUGAGUGCAAAUGGCCCGGCACAAGUUGCACUCUGCCAAUUUCCCUGAGACUGGCAGACCCCAGAGUUGGGGAACGCCCCUUUGUCCGUUUUCCUUUGCUUUUUCUUCGGCACCGGUGACUGGGAGUUGUGCCGGAUGUCCCCUGGAGGCGUAAGCCUCUUCUGUGCUGGAGAACCCUGGCGGUGCCACAAGUCCCGGAAUAUGGAUGAAGAGUUCUUCCUCGGUGCCGGUGAGGCCAAGCUGCACUACCCGUCUCUCAGAGGUAGAGGUGCUCAAUGCCAAGACGGCUUAGCUCAGCUCUGAGGGGUGGAAAACCACCUCCAUAAUGAGGAAUUUAAGUCUCUGGUCUUUGUCCUUUAAGAUGUGACAAUGGCAAACAGGCUAUUGUGAAUUAGGCACAGGACUUUGCUGGGAGGUUGUUGAAGACUUUGGUAAAAACAAGUAUUUGGGGAAACAAAUGCAUAGGAAAGAGUGAAAACAGAGGGACAGAAGGAAGGAGAUCCAUAAAACCUUAAAUGGAACAGGGCCAGGUGUUUGUUCCUGGAUGACUCCUCUCAAAUAGAUUUACAUCAAGGCUAGACACCUAUGUGUUGAUGGCCCAUCAAGGACACUCAGUUCUCACAACGGGCUGUAGAAGAAACUCAUCCCGCCCAGACAGCUCUCCCUGAAGAUUCCUCAGACACCAAGGGGCCAAUGGCCAACCUCUGUGACUCAGCAAAACAUGUGACAUGCUCAUGUUACCCUGGAAUCCAUCUUGAGCCAGUAACUUUCCACAAAAGGGGCUAUGGGCUUUGUUUGGGACAGUAAAAAUUCCAUGCAAAUGGCAGAAGAUAUAAAAGACCCCUGAAACAUCUUCAUUUUGUCUCCAUUUCCUGCUUUAUUUCUCAGCACUGGAUUUCUAACAAAGAAGCUUUAACCAAGGACCGAUGACCCCCAAUCAUUCCAGAGAGACUUUUGCAAGCCGGCAGUUUAUUUCAUUACUGCUGUGAUCCUGAUCUAUGAACACUGAAAAUCACUUGCAUGUCUAUAAUCCUUUAACCAU